rnacentral:sRNA from 1 species
UUGAAAUAUAUACGUAUAUAGCAUGUUUAUAAAGACUUCAAAAUUACUGGAAGUGAUAUUUUUAAGUAGCCUGCAUUAUUCUGUGGCUAUUCGUGGCUCAUUUGGCAAUUGCUCUCUUUACUUUGGAACGCGCCUCGAGAUGCAGUGCACUGGACAGUUAACAAAGCAACUGGUACUCAAGUAUCCAGACGGAUAUGCAGACACCGAUAUUCCGUAUGCAAUCUUUGCGCCAAACCAUUUAAUGCUGUUUGUUUUCGUUACAAUGUACUACUCGCCAAUCAUGAACUGUAGCACCCUCAGAGUGCUAGACUCUAACAACUUCGAAUGCGACUCGAAUGACAAAUUUAAAUUGGCGCUCUCUAGGAUGUUCUGCUACGACAAGCCCCUGACUUAUAUGGCGGCACUCAGGGACAACUGCAUGAAAGCAAAGAACUUCGGGCAUCGUACCAUAGAUCAAUCUAUUUUGCAAUAUGCGGAUGCUCCUUGUGUGGGUAGAUCGGAAACAGCUAGGUGGUGGCUACUGCUCAUUACGGCGAUAGCCACUAUGGGGCCCGUUUAGCAUUUGGAUGACGAAUACGUUUCGAACGAUUUCAAAUAACCUUAGGUUGAAAUAAAGCCUGCUAUGUGAAAUCUUUCCAUAGGGAAUUGGAAUAGAGAUGCUCAAUGUAGAUAGAAGAGUCUGCCAGCUAAAAGCAUCUUUGAUGUUACAGAUGAAGGGCAACAACAGAUCUAUGUGGUUGGCCCAAGCUAAAACUGUAGCGGUUCCGAAAGUUCAAACAGGUGCCAAAAUGGGGCGAGUUUAAAAAAAUUCCAGUAAAAGUAAAAGGGUUUGCAGCAUUUAAACCGAAAAGAGUAUGGUGUUAAUAUAAUUAAACAAGAGCAUGUGUAACCGACUUUUAAACAACAUUAAAUAGCGAUACCUCACCUGUUAA